GAUGAAGAACGUAGCGAAAUGCGAUAAGUAAUGUGAAUUGCAGAAUUCAGUGAAUCAUCGAAUCUUUGAACGCACAUUGCGCCCUUUGGUAUUCCGAAGGGCAUGCCUGUUCGAGCGUCAUUAUCACCCCUCAAGCCCUCGGCUUGGUGUUGGACGGUUUGGUGGAGGCCCCCUCGGGGGUUCCUGCCCCUCCCAAAGACAAUGACGGCGGCCUCGUUGGACCCCCGGUACACUGAGUUCUUCACGGGACACGUAUCGGACACAUGGGUUUACGGGACACGGUCUGCCUCCCCUCAGGGAGAAUCUUUCUAAGGUUGACCUCGGAUCAGGUAGGGAUACCCGCUGAACUUAAGCAUAUCAAUAAGCGGAGGA
rnacentral:misc_RNA from 1 species